CUAACAAGGAUUCCCCUAGUAACGGCGAGUGAAGCGGGAAGAGCUCAAGCUUAAAAUCUCCGUGCAAGUUUUGCGCGGCGAAUUGUAGUCUAUAGAGGCGUGGUCAGCGUGGGCGCUUGGGGCAAGUUCCUUGGAAGAGGACAGCAUGGAGGGUGAUACUCCCGUUCAUCCCUGAGUGGCUCGUGCGUACGACCCGUGUUCUUUGAGUCGCGUUGUUUGGGAAUGCAGCGCAAAGUAGGUGGUAAAUUCCAUCUAAAGCUAAAUAUUGGUGCGAGACCGAUAGCGAACAAGUACCGUGAGGGAAAGAUGAAAAGAACUUUGAAAAGAGAGUUAAAGAGUACCUGAAACUGCUGAAAGGGAACCGAAUCGUUUCCAGUGUCUAUAAUCCGUGGCAUAUUUCAUUGGCGAGUGUGUGCGCGCGUGCGCUGUGGCAGCGGCUUUUUUGGCUGCGCUCGGUGCGUGUGUUGUGUGUGCUUGCUGGUGCCCUGUGCUGCGGUGGGACGUCAAGGUCAGUUCGUAUGCUGCGGGAAAUGGCUGCCGAGGAGGUAGGGCUUACGCUCUGCGUUUGUCUAUUAUAUCUUGGUGGACGAGUCGUCGCGGUUGGGACUGAGGUGCCUACAACGUGCUUUUGAGUGGGUGUGUGUCUCCGUGUGCGCCGUGUGCGGAUAGCUUGCUAUGCGUGUGUGGUUGUGUGUGGAUUGAUGCGUGCCUUAACUUGUCGCCGUUCGGGACGUUGACGAAAUGGAGCGAUCCGACCCGUCUUGAAACACGGACCAAGGAGUCUAACAUGUGUGCAAGUGUUAGGGUGUGGAAACCCCAGCGCGAAAUGAAAGUGAAGGGCAGCGCAAGUUGUCUGAGGUAGGAAACGUUGCGGGCUUCGGUCUGCGGCGUGG
rnacentral:rRNA from 1 species